UUAGAUGUGGAUUAUGGCGCGGAAGUUUGAAUUUCCCGCACAGAUUAUUUGUAAGCGCAUGCGCACUCGCCAAAUUACGUGAAAACAACCGGAGUCAGGAAGAACGGAGUGGUCGGGGAAAAAGGGUCGAUUUUCAUAUACUAUAUGGGCAGACUGGUAAGAAAUCUAUCUGUAUUAUAAGAUCAAUAUGUAUAGAAAGUGUACGCCCCUCAAUAUGUAAGAAAGACUCCUGGUAAUAAUAGUAAUCGCCGGUGGAAUUGGCGAAGGUUCAUUUCCAUGUGGUCGCGCACUGUUCUUCAAUGCAGUGCUGCCCUCUUUUAUUCAGCUUAUAACUAAAGUAAUAGAAAGAGUACUGUAAAAUCGCACCUGAGACAUCAGUUUGCUGGGAAUUUCUAGUUAUGGUCAAUGUUAAUGUCACAUUCUGUUCACAUUGUAUCAUUGUAGGUUUCAAAUGACCUUUUGGACCUUUGUACGGUUAGAAGUCAAGAAAAUCUAGUCAUAGUAAAAGUCUGCGUUUCGUCCAUUGAUUGAAUACAACUCCGACCCCCCCCGCCUUCUCUCUCCACAAUUUGAAACCAGUACCACCAGAUAACGAAAAGGAUGGCAGCUACAGCUAAAGCCAAGAAAGAAAGAGGUAUUGCCAAGGGAUCCGUCACGAGAGCUGACAAAACGUUGUAUGGUUUGAUUGGCAGGAAACGGCCUUUGGUUGAAGUGAAAACGGCACAUGAGACAGCUACUGCUGCCUAUGAGGAACUGGUGAACAGACAUCAAGAGUAUUUGCGUACUCUUGAUGAACCUUCCGAUAUUGAACGUGAAGAUGAAUGGCUUCAGGAUCAUGCCGAUCGUUGUGACAAGUGGGCAGAUGAUGUGAAUGAUUACGCUGCUACAUUCACCACGACAACUGUUACGCACCCUGCUGUUAGGCCAACGGUAGCUGCUCCGAAAAUGGAUUUAAAAGUCGAUAGGGUGGAAAAGCCUACCUUUACGGGGAAAGUGCUUGACUACUUUCAAUUCAGAAAGGACUUCAAGUUUGUGUAUGCCAAAUACUCUGAGGAAGAAACUCUUUACUGUCUUCGCAAAGCAGUAGGAGACGAUGGCCGCAAAUGGUUAGUCGCAGUGAACUCUGUGUCCGAAGCGUGGGCCAUCCUGGACCAGCAAUACGGUGAUCCACGUGUAAUUUCUGAUGCAGUUUUGAACAGCCUUGCUAAGCAGAAACCGGUACCAGAGGAGGAUAUGACCAAGUUUGCAAACUUUUACCACCAUAUCAAGAGCGCAAAGAACAUACUCGGGGAACUGCAUCGCGCAAACGAUUUAGACAACUCUACAACCCUGGCAACGAUGGAAUCAAAACUUAGUUACAAUGACAGACUCAAAUGGGCUAGAUUUCAAUUAGAAAAGGUUGUGGACCCUUGUGUUGAUAGUUUUUUGAGGUUUUUGAAUGUUGAAAUGAAUGUAAAGCGUAUUGCUGGUGCGGAAAUUCGUAGUGGGGCAUCGAGUAAUUAUGGCAACGGUAGUCAUAAAUCCGGAAAGGUGUGCGCUGAAACCGCAAAAUUACGCAAUGAGGCCGCAUCCUCAAAUUCUUAUGCUACAGUGUCAUUUGGUAAAUCAAAGGCCGCUCCAUCUUCACCUGGAACCGCGUCCGCAGUUAAUACUAGAGAACCUCCUAAAACCUCAUGUUGGGUUUGUUCCGAGCAACAUAGGCCCCAGGAAUGUGGAAAAUUUCUUGGGAUGAGUCUAGGGCAGCGUUUAUCUGAGGUAAAGAAAAACAAAGGUUGUUAUUUUUGCCUAAACAGGCAUUAUGGCCAAUGUAAACAAAGAAGAAAAUGCACAAAGUUGACUGACAAUCAACCCUGCAAAUACAGUCACCAUGUUUUGCUUCAUGGAGCUCCCUUUGAAGUUAGAGACAGCCCUGUCCCUAGUGUGGCUGGAUUUGAAGGUGCAGUGACCAACCCAAUCACAGCAGAAGAUCGAAGCCUCCUUCCUGUCAUCCAAGGCAACAUAUCAAACCCAUCCACUGGUCGUACAAUGGCUAAGGCGUGUGUCUUUCUUGAUAGUGGUGCCUCCCUUUCACUGAUAAAGGAAAGCACGGCAAAGAACUUGGGACUUCCAGGACAAAACCUCACGGUGACCAUUGGGAAAAUUGGAGCGUCCGAGGAGGAGUUUUGUACAAAACUUUAUAGUCUGAUCGUGCAAUCAGUCAAAGGGGGUCCAAGUUUCAGAAUAGAGGCUAUAGGUAUUCCCGAAAUUUGUGGUGAGAUCGCUAAGGUGAACACAGAUGUUUUAGCACAGCUGUUUGGGGUGGAAAAUGGUGAACUUCAUCGUGGUUCUGGUCACCCAGAUUUAUUGAUUGGUCUGGACUUCGUUAAAUUUCAUAGUGGUGAGACAACGGUAAAAGGGGAUGUAGCACUUAGGAAAUGUCCAUUAGGCCCAGUGUUAUUUGGAAUCGGUGAGGGAAUUGGGCAGAAAGCUGGCAUUCAUCUCCUGCAAGAGGUUCAUCGUGCUCCUGAUGUCAGUCUUAAGGAAUUCUGGUCUGCUGAGGAAAUGGGGAUUGCUCUGAAUCCAUGCUGCUUGGAAAGCCCAGGUGAGAAAAAGAUGACUCCCAUCGAGAAAGCAGAAGAUGAGAUGAUCCGAAAAUCAGCAAUCAAGGUUGGAGAGCGAUGGAUGAUUCCUAUUCCAUGGAAAAGGGACCCACGAGAGCUUCCUGAUAACUACACUCAAGCACUGGCAAGAUUACAGUCCACCGAAAAGAAGUUAAGACAGAACGAUGAGUAUGCGCGGAUGUAUCAGGGACAGAUCGAUGACCUUGUUGCACGAGGGUGUGCUAGGAAACUUACCACAGAGGAGAUCGAAACCUACAAUGGUCCGGUAUUUUAUCUGAGUCAUCACGCUGUCCUCAGGCCAGAAAAGGAAUCUACACCUUGUCGGGUUGUCUUCAACAGCGCAGCAAAUUUUCGUGGUCACUGUCUGAAUGAGUACCAGUGUAAAGGACCCAACCUGCUGAACAGCCUCCUGGGAGUGAUCAUGAGAUUCCGCGAAAAACCCAUUGCGAUAUAUGGGGACAUCUCCAAGAUGUACCAUUCGAUUCUUAUAUCACCAACUGUCGAUGCCAAUACUCAUAGGUUCUUGUGGCGCGACUUGGAAAACCGCCCUCCGGAUAUUUACAAAAAACUUGUGCUCACCUUUGGAGAUAAAUGUUCACCGGCAGUUGCAAACACGGCCCUCAACCUCACCGCUGAGGAAGCAGCUGCCCAGUACCCUGAAGCUGCUGAAAUGAUACUCAACUCGAGAUACAUGGAUGACAUAGCUGAUAGCUUGGAUGAUGAUGCUGAGGCAGAGCAGCGAAAAGAUGAAGCCGACCAAAUAUUGGAAAGAGGCCAUUUUCGGAUCAAAAAGUGGACAUCAAAUGCCAGCCGCCAAGAAACAGAGCCGACGACAGGAGAAAAGUUCACUCUUCUUUCAGCUGAUGACAAAGUUUUAGGCAUCUGUUGGGAUCGCGUAUCUGACACGCUUCACAUCGCUUGCAAUAAUGUCAACUUAAACGUAAAAUUAGGCAAAAUAGGAGAAGCGCUACCGCCAAUCAUGACCAAACGAAUGAUACUUAGUGUUAUAGCGGGGGUAUUCGAUGUCAUUGGAUAUGUCUCACCUUUUUUGAUCACUGCCAAGAUUGGGCUACAAAAACUGUGGCGUGAAAAUUAUGGAUGGGACGAUGAUAUUUCCAGUCAGGAGAAGGAGCUCUGGCGUCAGUGGUUCAUACAGUUGAGAAAACUAAAAGAAGUCCAAUUCGACCGAUGUCUGACCCCGACAGGUGCACAAGGGAAACCAAUUUUGAUCGUCUGUUGCGAUGCUUCGGAGCAAGCUUUUGGUGCUGUGGCCCACAUAAGAUGGCUUUUGGACACGGGAAAGUUUGAUGUGCGUUUUGUCAUGGCAAAAUCCAAAGUUGCGCCUUUGAAAUCUCUUGGUAUCCCAAAGCUGGAAAUCAAUAGCUGUGUUUUAGGGGCACGGCUAAACCACACCAUCAGAUCGAAUACACGUCUUGAUUUUGAGAAAACUGUUCUAUUUACAGACUCGAAGAUUGCAUUAGCGUGGAUUCAGUCCGAGUCCCGGGUGUAUAAGCCAUUUGUUUCCGUGAGAGUAGGGGAAAUUCAGAUGAAGAGUGACAAAGCUGAUUGGCGGCACAUCCCAUCUGAAGACAACGUUGCAGAUGAUGUCAGUAGGGGCCUUCAACUAGACCAACUUGAUGGACGUUGGAAAAAUGGAGCCAGCUUCUUGCGGCGCCCCGAGGGAGAAUGGCCAAAGGAUAGAGGGGAAAUCGUCGGGAGUACGGAGAAAACAGCCAUAGAGUCGGAAAGGAGAAAGGUGCAGAUUGUGUCAGUCACCCUUGCAGAAAUCCAAGACAGCGAAAGUUACAUCAAGAGGUUCUCAACGCUAAGAAAAGCCAUUACGAUAACGGCCAUGAGAGACAGGUUUAUAUACAACCUGAAAGCAGUACUUGGAAAACAACCCAAAAUGACAGGGGACAUCACUCUGGAGGAAAAACAAAAGGCUGAGAGAACUCUUAUACAAGAUGCCCAACGUGCACUGGUACCACUCAUGGAAAAACAGAAGUUAAACAAUCUUUCACCGACAAAGGAUGAAAAUGGAACUAUUGUAGUAAAAGGACGUACUCGGCAUUUGGUUUCGUACGACGUACACAGUCCACCCAUAUUACCGGCCACUGCGUGGCUGUCGACACUCAUAGUCCGACAUGUGCAUGGUAACUGUGGACACCCUGGGAUAGCAGCUUGUGCAGCCAAGGUGAGAAGGAAGCACUGGAUAUUGGGUGUGGCACGCCUUGCCAAAGCAGUGAAAAGAAGAUGUGUAUUUUGUCGUGAAUGGGCAGGAAAGACGGAACUACAAGUCAUGGCUGAUCUGCCAUUGUGUCGCCUACAGCCGCACACUCCACCAUUCCACUACACAUCAGUUGACCUGUUUGGGCCAAUAAACGUACGGAUAAGCCGCAAUAAGACUGAUAAAGCAUACGGUGUGCUAUUUACCUGCCUUAUGGUAAGAGCGGUUUACAUUGAUGUCGCCACUGACUACUCGACUGAAGGGUUUUUAAUGGUGCUGAGAAGAUUCUUUGCAGUAAGGGGAUACCCAACAACCCUAUGGAGCGAUCGGGGAAGCCAGCUUGUAGGAGCAGAUGCAGAGUUACGUCGUGCAGUUGAAAACUGGGAGCAAGCCGAAUUGAAAAACUUCUGCCAUGAAAGACAAAUGGAGUGGAAGUUCUUCACGCCCACUGCAGCACAUCAGAAUGGCUGCGCAGAAAGUAUGAUAAAGACGACAAAGUUGGCGAUCAAGAGGGCUAUCGGAGAACAGACUCUUACAGCACUUGAACUACAAACGGUGUUCUUCGAAAUAACGAAUCUAAUCAACUCGAGACCCAUAGGACGAUGUACUAAUGAUCCAGAUGAUGGUCCGUAUCUGUCACCAAAUGAUCUGUUACUUGGUCGUGCCAGCUCCACAAUUCCACAGGGACCGUUCUUGGAGACCAAAAAUCCACGCCAUAGAUAUGAGUUCUGUCAAAAGGUAGUACAAAACUGGUGGGUGCGUUGGUACCGCGAUGUUUUUCCUGAACUUGUGCCUCGCAAAAAGUGGCACAGCUCGGAGCGCAAUGUCUCAGUGGGGGACUACGUCCUGGUGAAAGAUCCUAAUCCUAUUCGGGGUCAAUGGAACAAGGGGCUGAUAAUAGAAGUGUUCCCAGGAGACGAUGGAAAGGUUCGAAAUGUUCGUGUAAAAACCGCGCGCGGAAAGUAUGAACGCCCAAUCACGAGGAUUGUCGUUUUGUAUCCAGUUGAAGGUUAUGAAGAUUAGUCAUGAACGCAAUACUUGACAAGUAGUUGAAAAAAUUAGGGACACUGAACUCUAUAAGAGUAUUCUGUUUGUUUCAUUGAAUACUUGGUAUUCAUAUUCCAGUCAUGAAGUUCACGUUUGAACUAGGUUUGUUCUGUUUGACAUGUUUGAAAUUUGCUAGUUUGUAUCUUUGUAAAGUUGAAUCAUUAUAUUGUAUUUCAUGUUAAAGGUAAAGGUUACCCACAAUUUCAAGUUUUAAGGGGAGUGUCCACGAAUGUCUUUGUUUCAUACUCUAGGUGAAUUCAAUAGGAGUAUCUUUAUGUUUCAUAUCCAAUGGACUCUGUCAGCGGGGGGAGGGUGGAUUAUUAGAUGUGGAUUAUGGCGCGGAAGUUUGAAUUUCCCGCACAGAUUAUUUGUAAGCGCAUGCGCACUCGCCAAAUUACGUGAAAACAACCGGAGUCAGGAAGAACGGAGUGGUCGGGGAAAAAGGGUCGAUUUUCAUAUACUAUAUGGGCAGACUGGUUUCAAAUGACCUUUUGGACCUUUGUACGGUUAGAAGUCAAGAAAAUCUAGUCAUAGUAAAAGUCUGCGUUUCGUCCAUUGAUUGAAUACAACUCCGACCCCCCCCGCCUUCUC